rnacentral:misc_RNA from 1 species
AAAAUUAUAUAGGAAGAAUAAAGCAACAUGAAAAAGUGGAAUGAAUGUAUAUAGCAACCCUCCAACUUAUCAGAUUCAGUGUUUAUUUUAAUAUCAGGGAAGAAUCCUCUCCUGGUUAUGCUGAAGAAGAGUCUGGUGAAGGCACUACAUUUCAAAGAUUAAUAAGCUCAGAGCUAGUUAAAAUACACUGCGAUAGAGAAUAGAGAAAGUUGUUCAUUACAGGUUAAUCUGCUCAGAUGAAGUCAUCGAUGCAGUUUGCAGUACGCCACCUGAUAUUGUUAAUAGAUAGAUUACCUAACAAGACAAAGCAAUCGACCUCUGGCUACUGUUUGCGGCGUUACUUGAUUCCUAAAUUUAGUGUGAAAUCAUCCCAUCAUUUUUAGUUAAUUAUUGUUAUGUUUA